rnacentral:rRNA from 1 species
UACGGAGGGUGCAAGCGUUGUUCGGAAUCAUUGGGCGUAAAGAGCGCGCAGGCGGCUUGGCAAGUCGGGUGUGAAAUCCCGGGGCUCAACCCCGUGACUGCAUCCGAUACUGUCAGGCUAGAGGUAGGUAGGGGAGAUUGGAAUUCCUGGUGUAGCGGUGGAAUGCGCAGAUAUCAGGAGGAACACCGAUGGCGAAGGCAGAUCUCUGGGCCGUAACUGACGCUGAGGAGCGAAAGCAUGGGGAGCGAACAGG